CUGUAGUUGCAGAUCAGAUGUGCACAACGGUCAGGAGUAAUUCUUGACCAUUCCUCUUUACAGAACUGUUUCAGUUCAGCAAUAUUCUUGGGAUGUCUGGUGUGAAUCGCUUUCUUGAGGUCAUGCCACAGCAUCUCAUUUGGGUUGAGGUCAGGACUCUGACUGGGCCACUUCAGAAGGCGUAUUUUCUUCUGUUUAAGCC